CCCCUCUCAAGAUCGCACCUAGAAAGCUCCCUGCUUUACCAGUCUCAGCUAUGGGAGGGAGAGGCAAGCAGAGGCCUACCCAUUCCAUUCCUAGCUUGAGCAGUGGCUAGUGAGUGGAAGGCAAUCUGCUACAAGU